UACAGAGGGUGCAAGCGUUAAUCGGAACUACUGGGCGUAAAGAGCACGUAGGUGGUGGUUCAAGUUGGAUGUGAAAGCCCCGGGCUUAACCUGGGAAGGUCAUCCAAGACUGAUCGACUAGAGUAUGGUAGAGGGAAGUGGAAUUUCCGGUGUAGCGGUGAAAUGCGUAGAUAUCGGAAGGAACACCAGUGGCGAAGGCGACUUCCUGGACUAAUACUGACACUGAGGUGCGAAAGCGUGGGGAGCAAACAGG
rnacentral:rRNA from 1 species